rnacentral:rRNA from 1 species
AAAAACUCCGGUGGUGCAAGAUGGACCCGCGUCUGAUUAGCUGGUUGGCGGGGUAAAGGCCCACCAAGGCGACGAUCAGUAGCCGGCCUGAGAGGGUGGACGGCCACAUUGGGACUGAGACACGGCCCAAACUCCUACGGGAGGCAGCAGUGGGGGAUAUUGGACAAUGGGGGGAACCCUGAUCCAGCGACGCCGCGUGAGUGAAGAAGUAUUUCGGUAUGUAAAGCUCUGUCAGCAGGGAAGAAAGCAAUGACGGUACCUGACCAAGAAGCCCCGGCUAACUACGUGCCAGCAGCCGCGGUAAUACGUAGGGGGCAAGCGUUAUCCGGAAUUACUGGGUGUAAAGGGAGCGUAGACGGCUGUGCAAGUCUGGAGUGAAAGGCGGGGGCCCAACCCCCGGACUGCUCUGGAAACUGUAUGGCUGGAGUGCAGGAGAGGUAAGCGGAAUUCCUAGUGUAGCGGUGAAAUGCGUAGAUAUUAGGAGGAACACCAGUGGCGAAGGCGGCUUACUGGACUGUAACUGACGUUGAGGCUCGAAAGCGUGGGGAGCAAACAGGAUUAGAUACCCUGGUAGUCCACGCCGUAAACGAUGAUUACUAGGUGUCGGUGGGUAUGGACCCAUCG